CCCGAAACAGCCUAAAAACAUUCAUCAAUUCAAGUUGGUUCUGUGAAAGAAGUUCAACACGGUGAUCAUGAGGGAGCCGGAAAAAUGCAGCUCGGUUAUUCUGGAACAUCUGCAAGAAUCAACUCAUUGUUCAUUAUGGAUUUUGCGUGAUUGAAGCGGUUUAAUCAAUGUCGGGCACCAAGAAAUGAUUUAAUAAAGCUGCAGCGAAGAACAGCAAUUUAGAGUAGAUCCAUAUAUCCGUAGUAGAUCUUUAUGAAAUAAAUGAAUAUGAUGAUAAUUAAUACGAAA